UACGUAGGCAGCUAGCGUUGUCCGGAUUUAUUGGGCGUAAAGAGCGUGUAGGCGGCCAGGUAGGUCGGUUGUGAAAACUGGAGGCUCAACCUUCAGACGUCGACCGAAACCAUCUGGCUAGAGUCCGGGAGAGGAGAGUGGAAUUCCUGGUGUAGCGGUGAAAUGCGCAGAUAUCAGGAAGAACACCCGUGGCGAAAGCGGCUCUCUGGAACGGUACUGACGCUGAGACGCGAAAGCGUGGGGAGCGAACAGG
rnacentral:rRNA from 1 species